rnacentral:rRNA from 1 species
UGCCAGCAUCCGCGGUACUCCUAAAUGGGCUAUCGUUGUUCGGAAUUACUGGGCGUAAAGCGCACGUAGGCGGCUUGGUAAGUUGGGGGUGAAAUCCCGGGGCUCAACCCCGGAGGUGCAUUGGAAACUGGCGAACUUGAGUACGGGAGAGGAAAGUGGAAUUCCGAGUGUAGGGGUGAAAUCCGUAGAUAUUCGGAGGAACACCAGUGGCGAAGGCGGCUCACUGGCUCGAUACUGACGCUGAGGUGCGAAAGCGUGGGGAGCAAACAGGAUUAGAUA